rnacentral:rRNA from 1 species
UACGUAGGGGCUAGCGUUAUCCGGAAUUACUGGGCGUAAAGGGUGCGUAGGUGGUUUCUUAAGUCAGAGGUGAAAGGCUACGGCUCAACCGUAGUAAGCCUUUGAAACUGGGAAACUUGAGUGCAGGAGAGGAGAGUGGAAUUCCUAGUGUAGCGGUGAAAUGCGUAGAUAUUAGGAGGAACACCAGUUGCGAAGGCGGCUUUCUGGCCAGUUACUGACGCUCAUGCGCGAAAGCUGGGGUAGCGAACCGGAUUAGAUACCCGUGUAGUCCCUGAGCGGGCU